GGGACGAACGCUGGCGGCGUGCUUAACACAUGCAAGUCGAGCGGUAAGGCCUUUCGGGGUACACGAGCGGCGAACGGGUGAGUAACACGUGGGUGAUCUGCCCUGCACUUCGGGAUAAGCCUGGGAAACUGGGUCUAAUACCGGAUAUGACCUCAGGUUGCAUGACUUGGGGUGGAAAGAUUUAUCGGUGCAGGAUGGGCCCGCGGCCUAUCAGCUUGUUGGUGGGGUAAUGGCCUACCAAGGCGACGACGGGUAGCCGACCUGAGAGGGUGACCGGCCACACUGGGACUGAGACACGGCCCAGACUCCUACGGGAGGCAGCAGUGGGAAUAUUGCACAAUGGGCGAAGGCCUGAUGCAGCGACGCCGCGUGAGGAUGACGGCCUUCGGGUUGUAAACCGUCUUUCGAGCAGGGACGAAGCGCAAGUGACGGUACUGCAGAAGAAGCCACGGCUAACGUACGUGCCAGCGAGCCGAC
rnacentral:rRNA from 1 species